rnacentral:rRNA from 1 species
AACGAACGCUGGCGGCAGGCUUAACACAUGCAAGUCGAACGCCCCGCAAGGGGAGUGGCAGACGGGUGAGUAACGCGUGGGAACGUGCCCUUCGCUUCGGAAUAUUCCCGGGAAACUGGGAGCAAUGCCGAAUACGCCGUAUUGGGAAAGAUUUAUCGGCGAAGGAUCGGCCCGCGUUAGAUUAGCUAGUUGGCGGUGUAAUGGACCACCAAGGCUACGAUCUAUAGCUGGUCUGAGAGGAUGAUCAGCCACACUGGGACUGAGACACGGCCCAGACUCCUACGGGAGGCAGCAGUGGGGAAUCUUGGACAAUGGGCGCAAGCCUGAUCCAGCCAUGCCGCGUGAGUGAAGAAGGCCUUAGGGUUGUAAAACUCUUUCGCCGGGGAAGAUAAUGACGGUAUCCGGAGAAGAAGCCCCGGCUAACUUCGUGCCAGCCGCCGCGGUAAUAC